rnacentral:rRNA from 4 species
AAAACAAAAACGACCCCCGGCAACGGAUAUCUCGGCUCUCGCAUCGAUGAAGAACGUAGCGAACUGCGAUACUUGGUGUGAAUUGCAGAAUCCCGUGAACCAUCGAGUCUUUGAACGCAAGUUGCGCCCGAAGCCAUCAGGCUGAUGGCACGUCUGCCUGGGCGUCACGCAUCGCG